rnacentral:lncRNA from 1 species
CGGGCGGAGUCUAUAGCAACAUGCACUAUUCUUAUUUUUUUCGGCAGCAAUCAUCAACCUCUUUUUCCAAAUUUCAUAACACGAUUUGUUUUAAUUAUCAUGAACAUUUAAUUGAAACUUUAGCACAUGUAACGUCGGAAAUUAGCGUCUUUAGGAUUUUAGACGUUUUCAGACGUUUGGACAAAUUGGCUACCGUUUUGUAAUGUGUGGAAGCAUUUUAUUCCUUUAAGACCCAAAUAUGUAG